rnacentral:rRNA from 1 species
GACGUAGGGCGCAAGCGUUGUCCGGAUUUAUUGGGCGUAAAGAGCUCGUAGGCGGCUCGUUGCGUCGGCUGUGAAAACCCGCAGCUCAACUGUGGGCUUGCAGCCGAUACGGGCGGGCUGGAGUUCGGUAGGGGAGACUGGAAUUCUUGGUGUAGCGGUGAAAUGCGUAGAUAUCAAGAGGAACACCUGCGGCGAAGGCGGGUUGCUGGGCCGACACUGACGCUGAGGCGCGAAAGCUAGGGGAGCGAACGGG